rnacentral:lncRNA from 1 species
GUUGGAAAUUUCACCAUUGGGAAAUUUCAUACUUGAAAAAUUUCCUAUUGAUAGUGGGUCUUGGCUAUUGGAAUGUGAACCCCAUUGGCAUGGGAGGUUCCUCCUCCUCCCUUCUUAAGAUUACUUUAGGACAGAAACCUUUUGCUGAACAAUGGAAAGGACUUUGACCUAUGCUUAAGCAUAGAACAGGAAUUUCUUUGAGUCAUGAUUGAUUUUAGAAUUGAUACAAUAGAGAUACUUGGAAUGACAGAACCAGGUCUUGGAAAAUACAAUUUCCACCCCACUCAGUCCUAACAGGAUUUAGGAAGGGCUGCAGCAUAGAUCAAAAUUUAAUUAUUCCAAUCUCUACCCUACUCAGGGUAACAGGAUUUAGGAAGGGCUGUAGCAGAGGAUCAAAAUUUAAUUAUUUGAGAAUAUGACCUUCAACAGACAUGUGCAAAGCCACAGACCUCUGGGCGGUCCUGGGUUAAGCUAGAGCCACCAUUGGCACAGGGAAGACAUGGACAGUGAUUGGUAGAUGUGAGAACUGAGGAGAGGGAACUUGGAUGGUUUGCUUAAAGAGAGAGGGGUCUGAGGACUGAGGGUGGUUGGUUGGAGAGUUUUUUUUGCUCUGAGAGGUUGUGCUGCUCUGAAGGAAGCUGGAGGUGGAGGCCCCUGAGACUGUUUCUCCAUUUUGGUCACGUCAUGCAUACCAAGCCAGCUGGACAGAUAAUUCUCUGGUUCAGCUUGGGGAAGCAGUAGCCAAAGCAAGUCCUUCUGACUGUUGGUAUAUUAUCUUUCCUCUACUUGCAAUAACGGUAAAGAGGAGAAGUCAGAAGAAAGAAGAGUAA